UUAGAAAUAAUCAUCUCUGUGGUUGGGGGUGCUUUGUGAAGUUAUUUCUUUUUCUCUGUGCCUUUAUUCUGCUUCUCACAGUUAAGAAUUAGAGAUUCUGGAAAAUGUGAAUGAAACCUUUGACGGCAUUUUUGUUGUGAACGGAGUCAGACUUGUGUCACUACACAGCAUAAAGACCCAGUUACAGAAGGGUCAAAUCUGUCAGAGUGACAUCUCAAAACAUGAUGAGAUGGUGACAUCUGUGAGCCUUGACAUCAGUAAAUUGGAAUAAAAUAUAGACUUCAUUCAUUCUGUGUGAAUGCACCACAUUGAAUACAGAUGGAGGGGGUUAAUGGCUAAAUCACAUCAUCUUCCUGGGUUAUACAAGUCCUAAGUGAAUAGAGUUGGAGUCUGCUUCACAUUAUCUUCUAGUGCAGCAUUUUCUAUUUCACCAGGUUAUGUAGGUUCCAAUGACAUAACAUUUUGUGUUUUGCAAGAAAAACCUCUCUCCCAGGCAUAAUCCUUAAAGUAACGCAGAAUCAGCAUCAUAUGACCCAAUUUUGAUGAAAUUCAUCAAUGCUGAUAUUAAUGCAUGUUAAAAUUGACA